rnacentral:rRNA from 1 species
GAUGAACGCUGGCGGCGUGCCUAAUACAUGCAAGUCGAGCGAACAGACGAGGAGCUUGCUCCUCUGACGUUAGCGGCGGACGGGUGAGUAACACGUGGAUAACCUACCUAUAAGACUGGGAUAACUUCGGGAAACCGGAGCUAAUACCGGAUAAUAUAUUGAACCGCAUGGUUCAAUAGUGAAAGACGGUUUUGCUGUCACUUAUAGAUGGAUCCGCGCCGCAUUAGCUAGUUGGUAAGGUAACGGCUUACCAAGGCAACGAUGCGUAGCCGACCUGAGAGGGUGAUCGGCCACACUGGAACUGAGACACGGUCCAGACUCCUACGGGAGGCAGCAGUAGGGAAUCUUCCGCAAUGGGCGAAAGCUUGACGGAGCUACGCCGCGUGAGUGAUGAAGGUCUUCGGAUCGUAAAACUCUGUUAUUAGGGAAGAACAAAUGUGUAAGUAACUAUGCACGUCUUGACGGUACCUAAUCAGAAAGCCACGGCUAACUACGUG